rnacentral:lncRNA from 1 species
CUAGAAAAAGUGUCUCAAGAUCGGAUUGACGCGUAGGCUAGACCGUUCGAAAGGAAAUAUUGGGAAGAAACAAGCAACGUCAGGGAAAGAAGUCGCGACGACGAGCUCCAUAUUGCAGUGCUGUGGCAUGUAUCGCAAUGAAAAUGUGUGUUUUGUCAUUGUGAUGCUCGUUGCAGCUGCCUUGUCACGACAUCAUCGUACGACACUGUGCUUUCUAUGGGAAAUGACUUAGUAUCUGAAAAUGCCCUGAGGUAUAGACACAACCCUUGGGUGCUUCCACUUUUCCGCCUUUUGUUUAGUGCAUUGUUAAAGAAUAAAACAUAGCCCCAUUUCGUUUAUUUCUAA